UCUCUGGAGGACUAGUGGUUAGGCCACAGCACUCUCACCGCUGUGGCCCGGGUUCGAUUCUGGGCCAGGGGA